GACGAACGCUUGCGGCGUGCCUAAGAAAUGCAAGUCGAGCGGGGUUUCACGCUGUCCAAAGCUUCGGCAGAGGACUUGUGAAAUCUAGCGGCGAACGGUCGCGUAACACGUAAGCAACCUGCCCCAAAGACUGGGAUAACAACCCGAAAGGGUUGCUAAUACCUGAUGUGCAUGUCGGAUCGCAUGAUCUGACAUGUAAAGGAGCAAUCCGCUUUGGGAUGGGCUUGCGGCCUAUCAGCUAGUUGGUGAGGUAACGGCUCACCAAGGCGACGACGGGUAGCUGGUCUGAGAGGAUGGCCAGCCGGAUUGGAACUGAGACACGGUCCAGACUCCUACGGGUGCAG
rnacentral:rRNA from 1 species